rnacentral:rRNA from 1 species
GACGAACGCUGGCGGCGUGCUUAACACAUGCAAGUCGAACGGAAAGGCCCUGCUUUUGUGGGGUGCUCUAGUUGCGAACGGGUGAGUAACACGUGAGUAACCUGCCCUUGACUGUGGGAUAACUUCAGGAAACUUGGUCUAAUACCGGAUAGGAGUUCCUGCUGCAUGGUGGGGGUUGGAAAGUUUCGGCGGUUGGGGAUGGACUCGCGGCUUAUCAGCUUGUUGGUGGGGUAGUGGCUUACCAAGGCUUUGACGGGUAGCCGGCCUGAGAGGGUGACAGGCUACAUUGGGACUGAGAUACGGCCUAGACUCCUACGGGAGGCAGCAGUGGGGAAUAUUGCACAAUGGGCGGAAGCCUGAUGCAGCAACGCCGCGUGCGGGAUGACGGCAUUCGGGUUGUAAACCGCUUUCGCCUGUGACGAAGCGUGAGUGACGGUAAUGGGUAAAGAAGCACCGGCUAACUACGUG